GCCUCCGUAAAUCCGGGGGUCGGGAUUGGCGUCCCGGCAGUAGAGGCGGACACACCGCCUAAUCAGCGGUUUUUUU
rnacentral:sRNA from 1 species